GUGAAAUGCGUAGAGAUCUGGAGGAAUACCGGUGGCGAAGGCGGCCCCCUGGACAAAGACUGACGCUCAGGUGCGAAAGCGUGGGGAGCAAACAGGAUUAGAUACCCUGGUAGUCCACGCCGUAAACGAUGUCGACUUGGAGGUUGUGCCCUUGAGGCGUGGCUUCCGGAGCUAACGCGUUAAGUCGACCGCCUGGGGAGUACGGCCGCAAGGUUAAAACUCAAAUGAAUUGACGGGGGCCCGCACAAGCGGUGGAGCAUGUGGUUUAAUUCGAUGCAACGCGAAGAAC
rnacentral:rRNA from 1 species